ensembl:rRNA 5S_rRNA 5S ribosomal RNA
CCAUACCACCCUGAACGCGCCCGAUCUCAUCUGAUCUUGGAAGCUAAGUAGGGUUGGGCCUGGUUAAUAUCUGGGUGAGAGAAUGCUUGGUUG